AGGGAUGUAGCUCAGUGGUAGAGCAUCUGCUUUCAAUGGAGAAGGUCCCAGGUUCAGUCCCUGGCAUCUCCA